rnacentral:lncRNA from 1 species
AUGGGAGUGAUGUCGGGGGGGAGAAAACUGCGCUGGGAAGCAGUGCAGCGUUUGUGUGCAGUGUUCAAGGAAUGCAUGAUUUGGCCCCCGGAACGUUUGCAGCAUCCUAGCGUUUCUGACUGCUCCCGUAGCUCCCGUGUAACAGUCAAACGCAGGUUGAGGCCCGGGACCGGCGCCGGUUCCGCUCCGCCGAGCCCGGGUGUCACUGAGGGAGCCGCAGGGGGUGGAGUGAGUGUGGGAGGGGCAGGUCGAGGCGCCUGGAGACGGUGCGUUCAGGGGCCGCGCCGUAACGCAAAGCGGUUGGUGACAUGCUGAACUGGAGCUAAUGGCGCGUUGGUAUUUAAGGGGAGGUGAACAGCUGAGCUCUGUAAAAUGGCUUUCGUUUAACCCUGCGUCCGGGAGCUUGUGUUUAUAGACAGAUCGCCUACAGCAACAAAGAGAAGAACUUUGUGUCGCACGUAUACACAAACAGCUUGAAUUGCUGUUUUAAUACCUCUCGUGACCCUGCUGCCCUCUGUAACGUACUGUGGCUGGAACACAAGUUUGCUCAUAUUUUGUAACCGAUCGUUCAUGUCUAUAAACUUUCCUCUCUUUAGUUAAGAAAAUCUUAAAAAUUGUUUACUUCUUAUUUCCUCAUUGCUCAAACAGACAUGCUACUGUAAAAACACAUUUAAAACUACAGUUAUCACCAUGGACAGGUCCUGCACUGUUUUAUAGUAUUAUGAUCUUGGUGGACGUUGGCUAAACAUCCUAAAUCAUAAACAUCCUAAAAAUUGGCUGGGAGGAAAAACAUUAUGACAUCAUGUAUUUCCAGGACCAGGACCUGAACUCUGCCGAGUCGUUUGCCGUGGGGUGCGUUUUCAGCUGCUCGUCCCGUGCUGUGGGAACGGUCGUGGCAGCUUUUCUGUGGAACAUGGAUUGUAAAGCAGUGGGGGUUGCACAGAAAGUUCAUCACGCUGGUGUUUUGUCAAAGUCGGGCGCCCCAUUGAGCUGUGUUUCCUCUUAACUGUAUAUGACAGAGCUCGUGCUUUGCAAAAAAAAGAAAAAAAAAAUGCAGUCAGGACCCUUGUUCCUAAAAAAAUAAAAUAAAAUUAUCCUGACUUUCUGAAUAACUG